AUUGAACGCUGGCGGCAUGCCUUACACAUGCAAGUCGAACGGUAACAGGUCUUCGGAUGCUGACGAGUGGCGAACGGGUGAGUAAUACAUCGGAACGUGCCUAGGAGUGGGGGAUAACUACUCGAAAGAGUGGCUAAUACCGCAUGAGAUCUACGGAUGAAAGCAGGGGAUCGCAAGACCUUGUGCUACUAGAGCGGCCGAUGGCGGAUUAGGUAGUUGGUGGGAUAAAAGCUUACCAAGCCGACGAUCUGUAGCUGGUCUGAGAGGACGAUCAGCCACACUGGGACUGAGAAACGGCCCAGACGCCUACGGGAGGCAGCAGUGGGGAAUUUUGGACAAUGGGCGCAAGCCUGAUCCAGCAAUGCCGCGUGCAGGAUGAAGGCCUUCGGGUUGUAAACUGCUUUUGUACGGAACGAAAAGCCCCGGGUUAAUACCCUGGGGUCAUGACGGUACCGUAAGAAUAAGCACCGGCUAACUACGUGCCAGCCGCCGCCGUAA
rnacentral:rRNA from 1 species